GCUGCCAUGGUCUAGUGGUUAUGACGCUCCCUUCACAGUCCUUGCGUUCAGGAGAGGUCUCGAGUUCGACCCUCAAUCGCAGUA
rnacentral:tRNA from 1 species